AUGAACGCUGGCGGUGUGCUUAACACAUGCAAGUCGAGCGAGCAGCCAUUGAGGGUAACCUCGAUGGUGGGCGAGCGGCGAACGGGUGAGUAACACGUGGGCAACCUGCCCCAGACACUGGGAUAACCCCGGGAAACCGGGGCUAAUACCGGAUACUUUCGGCGAUCCGCAUGGUUUGCCGAAGAAAGCUCCGACGGUCUGGGAUGGGCCCGCGGCCUAUCAGCUUGUUGGUGGGGUAACGGCCUACCAAGGCAUCGACGGGUAGCUGGCGUGAGAGCGUGACCAGCCACACUGGGACUGAGACACGGCCCAGACUCCUACGGGAGGCAGCAGUGGGGAAUAUUGCGCAAUGGGCGAAAGCCUGACGCAGCGACACCGCGUGGGGGAUGAAGGCCUUCGGGUUGUAAACCUCUUUCGGCAGGGACGAAGCGAAAGUGACGGUACCUGCAGAAGAAGCUCCGGCUAACUACGU
rnacentral:rRNA from 1 species